GGGCUUGUAGCUCAGUUGGUUAGAGCGCGCCGCUUGAUAASCGUGAGGUCGGAGGUUCAAGUCCUCCCAGGCCCACCA
rnacentral:tRNA from 1 species